rnacentral:rRNA from 1 species
GACGAACGCUGGCGGCGUGCCUAAUACAUGCAAGUUGAGCGCUGAAGGUUGGUACUUGUACCGACUGGAUGAGCAGCGAACGGGUGAGUAACGCGUGGGGAAUCUGCCUUUGAGCGGGGGACAACAUUUGGAAACGAAUGCUAAUACCGCAUAAAAACUUUAAACACAAGUUUUAAGUUUGAAAGAUGCAAUUGCAUCUCUCAAAGAUGAUCCCGCGUUGUAUUAGCUAGUUGGUGAGGUAAAGGCUCACCAAGGCGAUGAUACAUAGCCGACCUGAGAGGGUGAUCGGCCACAUUGGGACUGAGACACGGCCCAAACUCCUACGGGAGGCAGCAGUAGGGAAUCUUCGGCAAUGGACGAAAGUCUGACCGAGCAACGCCGCGUGAGUGAAGAAGGUUUUCGGAUCGUAAAACUCUGUUGGUAGAGAAGAACGUUGGUGAGAGUGGAAAGCUCAUCAAGUGACGGUAACUACCCAGAAAGGGACGGCUAACUACGUG